UGGUAACCUGUCACCAGCAACAAUCUCAGGAUCAUCGUAUUGGAUAAAAAGCAUCCCAUUGCAUCGGAAUGCAAUCGAAGGCAUUGGCAAUCGAGUUGCCGAUCUCUCUUUUCCCCCUUUCUUCAAUUGUCCUCGUGUAUGCCCGUGUGAAUGUGGGUGUAUUCACGAGGACACCCUUUAGCCUGUUCUGGUGCCAUUUAACUCUUCUGCGGAUGGAUGGAGCAACUAUGGAUGCCUGGCUGUAUUUCCCAGGCAUAAAGAUUCCACGUAUAUUCAGAUGUCAGACGAGAAAAAUGGAACCAGUGGAACAAUGGCGAAUUAUUUCAAGCAAGAGUGGUUUCCUCAUAUUACGUCAAGUCGGCGUCAAGAACUAGCUAGAAUUGAUCCCUUAACUUCGCCAAAAACUGCAUACAACUUAAUAAUUCAGUUUUGUCAGCCAUGUACGUAGAAGCGAUCUUCUCAUUAUUUGUAGAACUUUUAUACGAUAAACAGGUAGAACCCAGCAACCCGAAUUGAUCCAUCAACCUUUGGGGAAUAAAAAUACUCGUAUUAAUAACGUAUUUUUCAACUUGAGACUUCAAAACUGCGACAUGAAAUUUUAAGAUCGACACUGUCGUUCAAUUGUGGAUCCCAAAUCGCCUUUAAAUUUAAAUAUUUAAGAAUAAGGUAAAUAACUUUUGAUUCUUGAAACCUUCUCG